rnacentral:lncRNA from 1 species
GAAGUUUAUCAUGUCAAUUAUCAACACAUUUCUUUUGCUUCAAGCACCUACGCUGUUUAAAUUAAAAUUUUUAUUGUCUUUCCAGCAUUUUGCAUUUGUAUAUAAUAAGAAGCUCAACUUCUAAAUUGUUUGCCAAUCAAUUUACCUCUGUUUCUUCCACUGCUAUUCUUCCUACACUUCUUUCAUUUAACCUCUUCUAGUCCUAAUCACAAGGCUAGAUGGCCUCAAAAUCACGUCAGCUUCAUAUCGUAUUCUUGCCACAACUUGCCCAUGGUAUCUUGAUCCCGACAGUGGACAUGGCCAGACUAUGUGCUAGGCAUGGAGUAAAGGUGACAAUUGCUACCACUCCACUCAAUGCUCAUCUCUUUGCUAAAACAAUUCAAAGAGAUAGGGAAUCAGGCUUUGAAAUCAGUACUUACAUAAUCAAAUUUCCUUCAGCUGAGGUUGGGCUACCUGAAGGAUGCGAGAAUGCGAGUUCCCUCACUUCACAAGAAAUGCAAACCAAGUUCCUCAAGGCUGCUAACCUUUUCCAACAACCACUUGAACAGCUCCUUGCAGAACUCCGCCCCGAUUGCCUUGUGGCUGGCAUGAUGUUUACAUGGGCUACAGAUGUUGCUAGCAAGUUCGGAAUUCCAAGGCUGGUUUUUCAUGGGACAAGCUGCUUCUCCAUUUCUAUCGUUGAUAGCGUAAUACGCCAUGCACCCUACAAAAAGAUAGCAACUGAUUUUGAAUUCUUUGAUGUGCCCGGCCUUCCGGACCAGAUAAAGAUGACAAAGAUGCAGCUUCCAGAUUUUAUGAAAGAAGAAGGGGGGAGUGAGCGGAGAAAGAUGAUGAAUGAAGCUUUAGAAUCAGAGCGGAUAAGCUUUGGAGUCAUCGUGAAUAGUUUCUACGAGCUGGAACCAGCAUACAGAGAACACUACUCCAAAGUUAUGGGAAAGAAGGCAUGGCAAGUUGGUCCUGUCUCACUCUGCAAUAAGGACAGCGAAGAUAAAGCUGAGCGGGGAAACGUAGCCUCGAUUGAUAGACAUGAGUGUUUAAGAUGGUUAGCCUCAAAGAAGCCUAACUCAGUUCUCUAUAUAUGUUUCGGAAGCUUGUCCAGGUUUUCAGCUGCUCAGCUAAAUGAGAUGGCUAAGGGUCUUGAAGCUUCUGGACAGAAUUUCAUUUGGGUUGUGAGAAAGGUAAAUGAUGAAGACAAAGAAGAGUGGUUGCCAGAAGGAUUUGAAGAGAGGAUGGAAGGGAAGGGUUUGAUAAUAAGGGGAUGGGCACCCCAAGUUCUAAUUCUUGAUCAUGAAGCUGUAGGAGGGUUCAUGACUCACUGUGGCUGGAACUCAACACUCGAGAGUAUCACUGCCGGGGUGCCAAUGGUGACUUGGCCUCUCCACGCUGAGCAAUUUUUUAAUGAAAAGCUUAUUGUAGAUGUUCUAAAAAUAGGAGUCUGUACCGGAGCCAAGGAAUGGUCUAGAUGGGCAGAUGAUACAAAGAUUAUAGUGACCAGCGAAGACAUACAAAAGGCAGUGACUCAGUUAAUGGUUGGCGAAGAAGGUGAGAAAAUGAGAAACCGAACUAGGGAAUUGAAAGAUAUGGCGAGGAGGGCUGUGGAAGAAGGGGGAUCAUCCUACUCUGAUUUGAAUGCUUUAUUAGAUGAAUUGAGAUUGAACUGCCUUCCAAAAUAGCUAUCAAAUGCUGCUACGCCACUUCGUAAAAAAUUGUACUACUAUAGAAAAGAAAGUAAUAAAACUUAGUUAGCAUUCAUUGCUGUUUGGCUGGAGGUCCAUUAUUUGAACUAUGAAUUGAAAUUUUUUUCCUUUCAAAGUGUGCAAGUCUGCAUACCCUUUGUAUCACAGACCAAGGAAAUCCAUGACGUCAGAAUCAGAUUAAUUUUUGGACAUUUGAAAUCAGGCGUCCAUAGCAACGUAUUGAAGCUGGUUUAGACUCACAACCAAAAAUUUGUUUCCAUCUGGACUUAAAACCCAAAUAGAAUAGUGUCUGAAAGACAGUCCCCCAAUGGCAACUUCCUUUCUGCUAUAUCAAUUUUUCACUUAUUUAUCUCCUUUCAAGCAGCUAAUAGUAAUACCUUCGAAAGUGAGUGGUAGGAGAAAAGGGAAGCAGUUGGUAUCCCUUGCAAUUUGUAUUGUAUAUGAAAAACUGCAAUUGUAGAAUUUGUCAUAUGACAAAAGCUACCGUACAAUUGUAUGGACAAAUAUGUGAAAGCAAUGGGUUGGCUUCUGUAAGUAAGGAGACGGGUGAUUACUGAUGAUCCACAACCAUUUUUUAAGCCUAUUACCCAGCCGCAGAUUUCUUGUCAAGCUUAUAAGUUAUAUAACUCAGAAAUCCAGUUUUAAUCAUUACACAUGGACCUUUUCUCUGCCUGCUAGAGGCCCAUUGGACCUAUGGUCCUAUUUAGAAGAGUUGCCAGAAUUUCCAUUUCCCUCUGCGCCUAAAUGAUAUUGAUGACUUUGCAGGUUAUUUAUACCCUUCUCUUUUAUUCAUGGAUCAAUGCUGUUUAAAGAAAGAUUACUGCUUUAGUUCCCAUUCAAUUAGAUAGCUUUCCCUAGUUGACUUUAAAUGCAAAUCAGAUAAAAGACAAGGUUACAAUUUUUUCUUAAAGGACUCCUUGCUAACCAAGCAAAACAAAUGAGUCAGUACACUGCAUAUGGACUUGAAGCUGUACUCCUAAUGUUUGCUAGAUCAAAGAUGCCUGACACAAAACAAUUUUUUCCACAUAUACAGACAUAUGAGUCCAAUAAAAUGAUGACAAUUAGCUGUGGUCUCCGCACGUGGUUUGAAUUAACCCUGCUCCGACCUUUCUACAUAUUCAGUUUAGAAAGUAUACUUGCAGUCCAAGCACACAAAUUCAACAUACUUACCAGGAAGUUUACCAUGUCAAUUAUCAACACAUUUCUUUUGCUUCAAGCACGUACGCUGUUUAAAUUCAAAUUUUUAUUGUCUUUCCAGCAUUUUGCAUUUGUAUAUAAUAAGAAGCUCAACUUCUAAAUUGUUUGCCAAUCAAUUUACCUCUGUUUCUUCCACUGCUAUUCUUCCUACACUUCUUUCAUUUAACCUCUUCUAGUCAUAAUCACAAGGCUAGAUGGCCUCAAAAUCACUUCAGCUUCAUAUCGUAUUCUUGCCACAACUUGCCCAUGGUCACUUGAUCCCGACAGUGGACAUGGCCAGACUAUGUGCUAGGCAUGGAGUAAAGGUGACAAUUGCU